CACGUAGGGGGCGAGCGUUGUCCGGAAUUACUGGGCGUAAAGGGCGCGCAGGCGGCCGUGUAAGUCCGCUGUGAAAGACCGGGGCUCAACCCCGGGGUGUCAGCGGGGACUGCACGGCUGGAGUCCCGGAGAGGGAGGCGGAAUACCUGGUGUAGCGGUGGAAUGCGUAGAGAUCAGGUGGAACACCGAUGGCGAAGGCAGCCUCCUGGACGGGUACUGACGCUGAGGCGCGAAAGCGUGGGGAGCGAACGGG
rnacentral:rRNA from 1 species